CACUCUAGUAAGAUUAUGGAGCCUUUGUUGCCUCGAAGGAUCUCAUCCUCUGUGGUGGUACUCCAAAAACAAUGGGCCUUGGUUUCUUCUUCACCCUGCUUCCUGUUCGAACUCAGUUUCUUCAAGGUCAGCCAGUCAUUGGUCUCUGAGCUCUGAAGUGUCCCCUCUGCUGAAAGGGGGGGGGUCCCAAGAUUCGAGUUUUGCUUCUUAUUUUUCAGCCUUGUGGUACAUUCCCGUGACACAGCGAAAUUAAGUCUUUUUCAUGUGGGCUGUAUGGGCCUUUUCUCACAGCUUGGGUUUGGGGACGGACACAACGAAAAGGACCAGAGGGGACACGUGUCAGACCACGGUGCGCACAGGGUGUGGACAGCUGCCCUCGCUCUUCCCUUCCUGGUUUCUGCAGAGAAGUGGCCUCUCUGUGACAUGGCAGAGAUUGCUAGGGGAAGACGGGAAAUAGCCCUGCUUCUCCCCAGGGUGCUGGGUGAAUGACUGGAGGCGACAGACCUGUGGGAGAUGAAGGAAACCUAGAAAAUCCUGUGCCUGUGCCCUCGGUGGCCUCCCUCUCAGCACCUCUGAAACACGGCAGCCUAAGGAGUAAGGUCCGUCACUGGCAAGGACUGCGCUGAGAGUGGGUAGAACCUUCCAGAAGGCUGGAGUGGGCAGACGGGGCGGAGAGCAGAAAACAUGGACAGUAAGACACAGGGGAAGAGCUGGCUUUUAGUUUCAUCAUCGUGCCGCCAACCAAGGAAUGUUCCUCCUUUGUCGCCUCUAAUCAAGUCAGUUGAGCUAAACUGAUUGGACCACCCACUACUGGGUCACACACUUGGUUGGAAGACCGGCCCCCAAUCCCGUGAUGCUUGAAGGUUUUCCAGGGUCCCAGUCCUGUCUUCAACUCCUCGUAAUUGGGGAAGAAAAUGUCAUUGACUGACUGGCAAAGAUACCUUUGAGAGAAUAAAAUCUUUUUCCAUCUCGA